rnacentral:rRNA from 1 species
UCAAGCGAUUAAGUGCAUGGGGUGGAUGCCUUGGCGGUCACAGGCGAAGAAGGACGUGCAAGCCUGCGAAAAGCUCCGGGGAGCGGGUAAAGGCGCAUUGAUCCGGAGAUAUCCGAAUGGGGAAACCCGGCCCAGUUGGGUCAUUCUUGACUGAAUCCAUAGGUCAAGCGAAGCGAACGCGGUGAACUGAAACAUCUCAGUAACCGCAGGAAGAGAAAUCAACCGAGAUUCCCAAAGUAGUGGCGAGCGAAAUGGGAAGAGCCAGUAUUCUUUAGCACAAGGGUUAGCAGAAUGGACUGGAAGGUCUGGCCAUAGAAGGUGAGAGCCCGGUAUGUGAAAACCGUUGUGUGGAACUAGGGAUACGAGAAGUAGGGCGGGACACGUGAAAUCCUGUCUGAAGAUGGGGGGACCAUCCUCCAAGGCUAAAUACUCGUGACCGACCGAUAGUGCACUAGUACCGUGAGGGAAAGGCGAAAAGAACCCCGGGAGGGGAGUGAAAUAGAACCUGAAACCGCAUGCAUACAAACAGUAGGAGCCCCUGCUUUAAUGGCCUUCAGUUCUUUGUAGUUGCCGCUUUGCGGCAGCUACAAAGAAAACGAGAAGGGGUGAAAUGAAAGCCUUGUGCUAGAGGCUGAGAACAAGGUGAGGGUCAUUAAAGCAGGGGUGACUGCGUACCUUUUGUAUAAUGGGUCAGCGACUUACGUUCAGUAGCAAGCUUAACCGUUUAGGGGAGGCAUAGCGAAAGCGAGUCCGAAUAGGGCGAUUGAGUUUCUGGGCGUAGACCCGAAACCAGGUGAUCUAUCCAUGGCCAGGUUGAAAGUGCGGUAACACGUACUGGAGGACCGAACCCACUACUGUUGCAAAAGUAGGGGAUGAGCGGUGGAUAGGAGUGAAAGGCUAAACAAACCUGGAAAUAGCUGGUUCUCUCCGAAAACUAUUGAGGUAGUGCCUCGUGUGUGACCUUUGGGGGUAGAGCACUGUCAUGGUUGGGGGGUCCAUUGUGGAUUACCUCGCCAUAGCAAACUCCGAAUACCAAAGAGUGGAAUCACGGGAGACAGACAUCGGGUGCUAACGUCCGGUGUCAAGAGGGCAACAACCCAGACCGCCAGCUAAGGUCCCGAAGAUUGGCUCAGUGGGGAACGUAGUGGGAAGGCUCAGACAGUCAGGAGGUUGGCUUAGAAGCAGCCAUCCUUUAAAGAAAGCGUAAUAGCUCACUGAUCGAGUCGUCCUGCGCGGAAGAUGUAACGGGGCUUAAGCCAGUCACCGAAGCUGCGGGUAUCAGAGAACUCCUCUGAUACGGUAGGAGAGCGUUCCGUAGGCCUGUGAAGGUGCAUUGAGAAAUGUACUGGAGGUAUCGGAAGUGCGAAUGCUGACAUGAGUAACGUUAAAGGGGGUGAAGUGCCCCCUCGCCGUAAGCCCAAGGUUUCCUGCGCAACGUUCAUCGGCGCAGGGUGAGUCGGCCCCUAAGGCGAGGCAGAAAUGCGUAGCUGAUGGGAAGCAGGUGAAGAUUCCUGCACCGUCGUAAGAAUGCGAUGGGGGGACGGAUCGCGGAAGGUUGUCCGGGGGUUGGAAGUCCCGGUCCCUGCAUUGGAGAAGGCGCUUAGGCAAAUCCGGGCGCGCAAUUCAAGGGUGCGAGGCGAGCGAACUUCGGUUUGCGAAGCAAUCGGAAGGGGUUCCAAGAAAAGCCUCUAAGCGAAAGUCUUACGAGACCGUACCGCAAACCGACACAGGUGGGCGGGAUGAGUAUUCUUAGGCGCUUGAGAGAACUCGGGAGAAGGAACUCGGCAAAUUGGACCCGUAACUUCGGGAGAAGGGUCACCCAAGUAAACUUGAACAGCCGGCGCUGUGAGGGAGAACGGGUUGCAAUAAAAAGGUGGCUGCGACUGUUUAAUAAAAACACAGCACUCUGCCAACACGGAAGUGGACGUAUAGGGUGUGACGCCUGCCCAGUGCCGGAAGAUUAAAUGAAGGCGUGCAAGCGCUGGAUUGAAGUCCCGGUAAACGGCGGCCGUAACUAUAACGGUCCUAAGGUAGCGAAAUUCCUUGUCGGGUAAGUUCCGACCUGCACGAAUGGCGUAACGAUGGCCACACUGUCUCCUCCCGAGACUCAGUGAAGUUGAAAUGGUUGUGAUGAUGCAAUCUACCCGCGGCUAGACGGAAAGACCCCAUGAACCUUUACUGUAGCUUUGCAUUGGACUGUGAACCGGUUUGUGUAGGAUAGGUGGGAGGCGAAGAAGUCGGAACGCUAGUUUCGAUGGAGCCGUCGUUGAAAUACCACCCUGAUCUGUUUGCGGUUCUAACCUAGUCCCGUGGACCGGGUCGGGAACCGUGCAUGGUAGGCAGUUUGACUGGGGCGGUCUCCUCCUAAAGGGUAACGGAGGAGCGCGAAGGUACGCUAGGUACGGUCGGAAAUCGUAUCGAUAGUGCAAUGGCAAAAGCGUGCUUGACUGCGAGACGGACAUGUCGAGCAGGUGCGAAAGCAGGUCAUAGUGAUCUGGUGGUUCUGUAUGGAAGGGCCAUCACUCAACGGAUAAAAGGUACUCUGGGGAUAACAGGCUCAUACCGCCCAAGAGUUCAUAUCGACGGCGGUGUUUGGCACCUCGAUGUCGGCUCAUCUCAUCCUGGGGCUGUAGCCGGUCCCAAGGGUAUGGCUGUUCGCCAUUUAAAGAGGUACGUGAGCUGGGUUUAAAACGUCGUGAGACAGUUUGGUCCCUAUCUGCCGUGGGCGCUGGAAGUUUGAGAGGGGCUGCGCCUAGUACGAGAGGACCGGCGUGGACGCACCUCUGGUGUACCGGUUGUCACGCCCGUGGCAUCGCCGGGUAGCUAAGUGCGGAAGAGAUAACCGCUGAAAGCAUCUAAGCGGGAAACUCGCCUCAAGAUGAGACUUCCCUGACACGCAAGUGUCCUGAAGGGUCGUUCAAGACCAGAACGUCAAUAGGCGGGAUGUGGAAACGCAGUAAUGCGUUGAGCUAACCCGUACUAAUCGCCCGUGUGGCUUGACCCU